rnacentral:rRNA from 1 species
UACAGAGGUCUCAAGCGUUGUUCGGAUUCAUUGGGCGUAAAGGGUGUGUAGGUGGCGCGCUAAGUCGGGUGUGAAAUUUCGGAGCUUAACUCCGAAACUGCAUUCGAUACUGGCGUGCUUGAGGACUGGAGAGGAGACUGGAAUUCACGGUGUAGCAGUGAAAUGCGUAGAUAUCGGGAGGAACACCGGUGGCGAAGGCGGGUCUCUGGGCCGAUAUUGACGCUGAGGAGCGAAAGCGUGGGGAGCGAACAGG